GUGAAACUGCAGCGUGCAGACGCUAUGAAGGCAAUUCUGCUUCUCCUCUUGUUAAGCACCUGCCGGACGUCAGCCCAGAGUCGAGCUUCUUUGAAGGUCACUCCCAACUGGUCCCAGUUUUUCGAGUACGAGCACAUCAGCCUGAGCUGUGAGCGGAUCGCCUCCGGUG